CAAUUGUGUCAAAUUUUUACA
rnacentral:siRNA from 1 species